GAUUGUUUCUCACGUAAGCAAUAGCUCGUAGAUGUAAAGUUAUUCGUCUUUAACGGAUUGCUUCAAGUAUUGACCUAAUUUAACAUAUUUCUUUGCAAUAAUGGCGCUUUCCAUUGCAACUGAAUGGACAAGGUGCGUCACCGUUCUCUUUGUAUUCAGCGCGAUGUGGGGAAUUGCUUUGUCCAUUAAUCGCUACUCUAUUCCCGAGGAAAUGCAAGAGGGUUCCGUUGUUGCAAACCUGGCUACAGAUUUGGGACUUGACCUUCGCACUCUGAUAACACGCAAGGCAAAGCUUGACAUCAUCCACAGAAACAAAUAUUUGGACAUUAACAAAGAAACGGGAGACCUGUUCAUACUUGAAAAGAUAGAUAGGGAAUAUAUAUGCUCGAGCAAGACAACGUCUUGUUUUCUGAAAAUGGAUGUCAUAUUUGAAAAUCCCAUUCGAAUUUUUAACAUUGAGCUUGAAAUUAUGGACAUAAAUGACAAUGCACCGGUCUUUCGAAGGGAGACCAUGCACUUGGAUAUUUCAGAAUCUACCGCUGCAGGAGAGAGAUUCUCUUUGACAAAUGCUGUGGAUGCAGAUGUCGGUGCGAAUUCUAUUAAGACUUACUAUUUAAGCGAAAGCAAGUCUUUUAUAAUUGACAUACAGACGGGAAGCGAUGGAUCUAAAUACGUAGAUUUGGUUCUCAACAGUAAUUUAGACAGAGAGGAACAGGCGGUUCAUAAUUUAAUACUAACCGCUGUAGAUGGCGGGGUCCCUGCACGCUCAGGCACAGCCAGUAUCAUCGUUAGGGUUCUGGAUAUCAAUGACAACGCCCCUUUUUUUAACCAGCCGAUAUAUGCUAUUAAUGUAACUGAGAACUCCCCAAUUGGAACUCUAGUAAUGACCUUGAACGCAACAGACUUGGACGAGGGCACUAACGCAGAGAUGAUAUAUUCAUACACGUUAUAUACAUCCGAGAAGACACAAGAAAAGUUCUCUCUAAAUUCGAAUACAGGGGAAAUAAAGGUUAAGGAUGUGAUUGAUUUUGAGGAGAGCCACAGUUUCGAUAUAUAUAUUCAAGCCAGAGACCAAGGAUCUAAUUCGUUAUCCGGAGAUUGUAAAAUAAUGAUAUUUAUUACCGAUCUGAAUGACAACUAUCCCGAGGUUACCAUUAAAUCUUUUAAAAGUACGCUCAAGGAAGAUGUUGCCAUAGGAACAUUAAUAGCAGUGAUCAGUAUAAGCGACAGGGACUCUGGGGACAACGGUGAAGUUGAGCUCACUUUGAACCAACAAACAUCCCUACCUUUCGUUCUUAAUAAGUCUUCGGAGGAUUAUUUUGCUCUGCAUGUUUCAGAACCACUGGACCGUGAGACAAUUCCAAGAUAUGAAAUCACUUUCAUAGUCACAGACAAAGGAACACCUCGCUUAUCUGACAAUGAGACAAUCACCUUGGAGAUACUGGAUGUCAACGAUAACUCGCCAAUAUUCCCCCAGUCGUUCUACACAAUCCAUGUUGUGGAGAACAACGUCCCCGGCGCACUGUUGACGUCACUCAGUGCUUUCGACCCGGACCUCCAUGAGAACCAGUAUCUGGUGUAUUUUAUCAUGGAGAAGGAGAUCAUUAACACAUCUAUGUCCAUGCUUUUCUCUAUUAAUCCAGAGAAUGGCAACCUUUACGCUCUGAAGACCUUUGACUUUGAGAGGGAGAGGGAGUUCCUUUUCCACAUAGAGGCCAGAGACUCUGGGGCACCUCCACUGAACAGCAAUGUGACAGUUCACAUCAUCAUUUUGGAUCAGAAUGACAACACCCCGCUCAUAGUGUCACCUUGGCGUGCGCAGGGCUCGGUUAUUGAAGAGGUGAUACCGAGGUCCACUGAUAAAGGAUUCCUAGUUGCCAAAGUAAUCGCCAUUGACGCAGACUCAUUACAGAAUUCACGGGUCACAUAUCAGCUUCUACAGAUCAGUGACUCUAGCCUCUUCAGUCUAGAUCAAUACAAUGGGGAGAUCCGUACCACAAGAAUGUUCAGCUAUAGGGACCCCCGUCAUCAGAGGCUGGUUGUUGUCGCCAAAGACAAUGGAGACCCUGCUCUUUCCGCUACAGUCACCAUCAAGAUAUCAACAGUAGAACACAUGGUGACACCAUUCUCAGAAACUACUGAGUUGCCUUUGGAAUAUGACUUGUUCACAGACUUAAAUCUGUAUUUGGUCAUUGGUUUGGGCUCAGUAUCCUUUCUGCUAUUGAUCACCAUAUUGGUGGUCAUCGUUCUGAAGUGUCAGAAACCGAAGCCCUUGAAGAUGCCUCCUGCUAUGAAUAUGAAUCUGAACAGUCUAAAUAGGAACAGUAUGAUCAGCAGAAACAGUAUCAUCAGCCAGAGGAGCUCUACCAUAGCCGAUUCCACCCUAAUCUCCAGUGAUGCCUACUGGUACAGCCUGUUUCUAGCAGAAACCAGGAAAGGCAAGGUGGUUGUCAGACAGCCUAUAGUACCGAAGGGAGCAGGCUACUUUGUGUCCAGUAUACCCAGAAGCACAGGGCCUACAGAGACCAGCGACUCAAGAGCAUCCACGCUACAGUACUCAAAAUGAAAGGAAGCCCAUUCUACAGCUGGAGGUAUGCUGGUUGCUGGUAACAUGAUGAUUCCAGGGCCAGCAGUGACCUGCCAUGAUGUCCUCAAUCUGGAUUAUUCGGCUGCAGAACGUUCAAAGAAGUUAAGAGUGACCAACACCCCUCCUUCAAUCACUGGGAUCCAACAGUUACCUCUGGGGGCAGCUCGUCGAACCCUCUGCCCAAACAUACCACACCAACCACCUCAGCAACUGUAGACUACCUUUAUCAUCUUCCAUCAAGCAUGAAUCUGCAUGGCUACAUCAACAGGUACUUGUAUUUAGAAAAUAUCAUAAAGAAGAAAGGAACAUCAAACACAAGGUCUUUCAAACAACAUUGGACUGAUGUCAUUAUGCAUCGCACCCUCACUGGGACUUUUGACUGUAAAUGUGGGACCAGGCACUCAAUAUCUUCCAAAAUCCUACCUUACCUCUCCAAGAAACACAAUUACACAAAAGGGAUAUUCUGUUUAGUCCUUGUGAGGGUUCCUCAUGAUUGUGAUGUCAAUGCAUUAUUGGGGUAUGUGUCAGAGGUCACAAUAUGGUCAAUGCCAUAACUCUGUUAGCUAGUGAAAUAACUAUCUUUGUUCAUCUGUGAAUGUGUAGUGUGCAUAGAUAACUUUUUUACAUUUUGUUUAGAAAUAAUACUAAAGUUUUUCAUAAUUUGGCUUUGUAGACCUUACUAAUUUUCUUGAACGUGUUGAAUUAUGUUUUUGACUCUGAACAUCAGCCUAUGUUAUGGGAUUAUUUAUCUCCUGAGACAUGGUAUGAGAUGUGCAUGUUGAGUUGGUAACAAGAUAGAUCAAGACCUCAUACCUGUCAUUCAAUGAGCCAGGUAGGAGAGAAGUACCCCAUCUUACUCCACUUCACAUUGCAGACAGAGAUAGCUAAUAUAUUCUCACGGUUGAAAUCUUCAUGAUCACAUUUGACACUGACGCUAUAUUUAGUAUAUUUUGAUGAGAAACAUUUCCUGCUCAGCAUGUGUAUAUAUAUAUAUAUGCCAUUUAGCAGACGCUU